rnacentral:rRNA from 1 species
UACAGAGGUCUCAAGCGUUGUCCGGAUUCAUUGGGCGUAAAGAGCGUGUAGGCGGCCAGGUAGGUCGGUUGUGAAAACUGGAGGCUCAACCUUCAGACGUCGACCGAAACCAUCUGGCUAGAGUCCGGGAGAGGAGAGUGGAAUUCCUGGUGUAGCGGUGAAAUGCGCAGAUAUCAGGAAGAACACCCGUGGCGAAAGCGGCUCUCUGGAACGGUACUGACGCUGAGACGCGAAAGCGUGGGGAGCGAACAGG